AAAGCUAGUUGGCGACUGCGAGUAUUAUCGCUGGUUCUGGCUGAGAGCUAGAGGCUCCGGUUGGGGACUUUUGAGGCUCUUGAGUUUAUCAGUGGUAUUGUCAGUUUCAAUUGUGAUAUGUAACUGUGCUCUCAUUAGUACUCUAGGUUUCACUUUUGGUUUUGGGUUUAAGAUCAGUUGAUAUGACAUAUAAUCUGCUAUUUUCUCAAAGAUUUGCACUCAGAUAAAUCAAAGAGGUUAACAACAAGGAGGGGAAAAAGGAGUAUUAAAAAGCAUACUGUGAUGGUGGAUUCAAAGAAUGUUGAUGAAAAGAGUGAUAGUAAGCCUAUUGAUGUGUCAUAUUCAACUGUAAUAGAAUGCGAAGAGGAUUUUGAGAUUGGAAGGAAGUCGACUGAAAAUGAACUUGUGGAGUAUACAACUAGGGACUUUGUUGAAGUUCAAGAUGUGGCCAAAAUUUCUGAAGAUGAUUUUGAGGUAAAAAUAAGUUUGUUUCUUGUUGCUGCAUAUGUGCAAAAUUGUAGGCUUAUUGAAAGGAAUUAGAUUUAAAGUCUAAACAUUCACACGGUGAUACGAAUUUCACAUCUGAGGCCACUUAAGAAAUUAAUUUACAUAGUAUUCAUGUAGACAUUUUAAAUAUCCAAUUUUUUCUUUUUCUCUGCCACGUGGUCAUAAAUAAUGAAAUUCUGAAAGCUAUAUUUCAUGGUAUUCAAGUAGUCUUCCUAGUCGGUUAUAUUAAUUUUUCUAGCUUUGUAUGUAAGAUUGAAUUCAUGUUUUCUAGUGCUUUGCUCAAUUGACACAAGACUCGUAGGUUAAUUUUUGAAAUUAAAUUAUUUGGGCACAAGCUACUCAACGAUUCAAUAAUAUUGGGUAUUAAUGGUCUAAUAAAAAAAGUGAUUGUAUAUCUGAGAAAAUGAGAGAGAAUAGAAAGAGAACAAAAUGAAUAUUAUUUGUUAGACAAUUAUACACAUCCUCUCUCUUUUUUAUUUUAUUUUUUAUUUUUUUAUAAGAUUACAACACAUUAUUUGAAAUUAUCUUUUUGUAUAAUAGCUAAGUUAAGUUAGUUAAGUAGCUUUUCACGAAGUCAUUAAGAAUAUGUUAAACUACGAUAAUUCUCUUAUAAUUGCCUAACUUUUAGAUAGCUAAUGAAGAGUUGUGUUAUAUUGACAUUUAUCUUAGCUAUUUUCGAGUUUUACACUAGUAAUUUUUCAAUACAAGAAUCCCUUUCUUUUUCUCAAUGUUCUUUCACCUCGUUAACUUACUUUCAUCACCUUUUAUAUAGCUUAACAAGUCUUUCUUGUCAUUAUUUUCUCCUCUUAGCUACAACUCAUAGUUUAAAAUUUUUCACAUGUUUUCAUUGUUGACGGAUGCCAUUGAAAUGGUAAACUUAUUGAUGUUGAACAACUUUCUGUAAACUGUUCUACAUUAAUUUUGAUUGAAUAAAAACCCUCAAGACUUGAAACUCUAUGCCUUCAAUAAUAGAUUUUGCAUGCGAAAGUUUUUGUGUCGAGGAAACUUCUAAUUUAGUUCAUUUUGAAAGUUAAUGUUUUUAAGUUGUUAGGUAAAUCAGUCUUAAAUGUUAGUACAUGAUAUAUUAUUUAUUUUUUGUACAUUAAUUUUUUUUAUAAUUAUUUCAGCUUUUAGCAUCUUUCUUUUUAAUAUUUCUGUAUCUAUUGUUUUAAACUUUUUUUUAAGGAAACAAAAUGCCAAAUUGGUUAUUGGAUAUAUAGAGAAAACGAAUCUUGUGCAGUUUGUCAAGCUCAUUUAUCAAAAAUUAUACUUGAAAAUGAUCAAUUCGCCAAUAAAAAGUAUGUUUUUAGUGUGUUAUGAUCUCCCCAUGUUACAAUUGCACAAUAUCAACAAUUUAUAUUAGAAAUUUUGAAUGAGCAUGUAGUUAGAGUAAAAUUUAUUGAUGGAUACAUGAUGGUUUUAGAGGAGAUAAAAUCAGACUUGAAAGUUAGUACUCUUGUAUUUAUCGUAAUUUUAAAGAAGAAUCAGAUGAUGGAUGGUGGAAGCAUAUUGAAUAUGAUUUUAAGAAAUUAUUUAGGUCAGUAUAGAAAUUUGUUAAUAAGAUACAUGUUAUUUAUUUACUAUUUGUUUUUCUAUAAUCUUUUCAUAUUUAUUUUGCAGAGGAAUUUUUAAGUCAUUGAUAAGGUUAUAUCCUAACUACUCUCAUGGCAAUUAGAUAAAUGGUAUUGCCAUUGUUGAUGGUCAAAAAAAAUUAUACAAUAUGAGAUAUGAUGAUAUGUGCUAAUUUUAUAUUUUAUCGUACUUAUGACAUUAAAAUAUAUUAUUAUGUUAUUAUAUGUUGUUGGAUAUAAUGCAAUGUUUUAUAAUAAUUUAUACCUGAUUUUAGAUUAUUAUUCUUUAUUUUAUAUAAUUUUAAACAAAUUAAAGAAUUAAAUUUAUUUGAAAAGAGUUAUAUGAUAACUGAAUUUUAGUUAAAGCUCAAACCAAAUUGAAUUUUCACCUCCAAGAAUGAGUGAAUCCUGAUUCUAAAGCCAAAUUAGGAACAUUCUUGGAGGUGAAAAUUCAAUUUGAUUUAAGGUUUAACUAAAAUUCAGUUAUCAUAGAAUUCUAUUCAAAUAUAUCUAAUUACUUAAUUUGUUUAAAAUUAGGUUAAAAGGGCAAAAUACGGAAUAAUAAUCUAAAACUAGAUAUAAAUUAUUAUAAAACAUUACAUUAUAUCUAACAACGGACAAUAACGUAAUAAUUUAUUUUAAUGUCAUAAUUACGCACCAAAUAUAAAAUUAACACUUACCAUCAUGUCUUAUAUUGUAUAAUUUUCUUUGACCAUCAGCAACAACAAUAGCAUUUAUCCAAUUGCCGUGAGAGUAGUUAGGAUACAAUCUUAUCAAUGAUUUGAAAAUUCCUCUGCAAAAUAAAUAUGAAAAGAUUAGAAUAAACAAAUAAUAAAUGGAUAAUAUGUAUCUUAUUAACAAAUUGUUAUACUAACAUAAACAAUUUCUUAAAAUCAUAUUCAAUAUGCUUCCACCAUUCAUCAUUUGAUUCUCUUUUAAAAUUACGGUAAAUGCAAGAGUACUAACUUUUGAAGUCUGAUUUUAUCUCCUCUAAAGCCACCAAUCAUCUAUCAACAAAUUUUACUCUGACUGCAUGCUCAUCCAAAAUUUUUGAUAUUAAAUUGUUGAUAUUGUAUAGUAGUAACAUUGGGUGACCGUAACACACUACAAACAUGCAUUUUAUUUACGAAUUGAUCAUUUUCAAGGACUAUUUUUGAUAAAUGAGUUUUAAAAACUGCUCAAGUUUCGUUUCCUCUAUAAAUCCAACAAUUAAUUUGACAUUUUUUCCUAAAAAAAAAUGUUUGAAAAAAUAGAUAUAAGAAUAUUAAAAAGAAAGGUGUUAAAAAUAGAAAUGAUUAUAAAAAAAAUUAAUGUAUUAAAAAAUAUAAUAUAUCAUGCAUUAACAUUUAAGACUGAUUUACCAAAAAACUUAUAAACAUUAACAUUGAAAAUAAACUAAAUUAGAAGUUCUCUCCGACACAAUAACUUUUGUAUGCAAAAUCCAUUAUUGAAGGCAUCACUUCAAUGGCAUCCGUCAACAGUGAAACCAUAUAGAAAAUUGUAAAUCAUGAUUUUUGGCUAAGAGGAGAAAAUAAUGGUAAAGAAGAAUUGUUAGGUUAUAUAAAAGGUGAUAAAAGCGAGUCAAUAAGGUGGAAGGGCAAUGAGAAAAAGAAAAGGGUCAUUGCAUUGAAAAAUGAUUAGUAUAAAUCUCAAAAGUAGCAAGGAUAAAUGUCAAUAAAGGCAACUCUUCGUUAGUUAUUUAAAAGUUAGGUAGUUAUAAAAAAAUUAUCAUAGAUUAACAUCUUCUUAAACGAUUUCGUUAAAAGCUACUUAACAAAUUGAAGUUAGCAAUUAUACAAAAAGAGAAUUUCAAAUAAUAUGUUGUAAUCUCAUUAAAAAAAAAAAGAGAGGGAAUGUGUAUAAUUGUCUAACGAAUAAUAUUAGUUUUGUUCUCUUUCUAUUCUCUCUCACAUUUUCCCAGAUAUAACAUCACUUUUUUUCAUUAGACAAAUGAUACCAAAUAUUAUUGAAUCAUUGAGUAACUUAUGCCUAAGUAAUUCAAUUUAAAAAAUUAACCUACGAGUCUUGUGCCAAUUGAGCAGAGAAUUAGGAAACAUGAAUCCAAUCUUACAUGCAGUGCAAUAAAAAUUAACAUAUUUGACUACGGAGACUAUUUGAAUGUCAGGAAAUAUAGCUUUAAAAAAUUAUUGAAUCAUUGAGUAACUUAUGCCUAAGUAAUUCAAUUUAAAAAAUUAACCUACGAGUCUUGUGCCAAUUGAGCAGAGAAUUAGAUGCAUACAUGAAUACUAUGCAAAUUGAUUUCUAAGUAGUCUCAGAUGUGAAAUUCGUUUCACCACAAGGAUGUUUAGACUUCAAAUCUGAUUUCUUUUGAUAAGCCUACAAUUUUGCACACAUGCAGCAACCAAAGUAGCACGGAAACAGUAAUGUGGGAAACAUUAUUUUCAAAAUUUAGGAAACGGAAUCGAGAGGGAAAUGCAUAAAUAUAAAAUAUAAGAGAUAAGUUGUUGUCUCUCUCCCUAUAUUCUAUUCCGUAAGCAUUCUUUUGCUGUUGUACUUAUGGUUUUAAUUUGUUAUACAAGUAUUUCUUAAAUAUAAAUUCAAAGUACAAGCCACUAGGAAAGCGUAUUAUAUAGAUUUAAAAUAUUUGAGUUAUCUAACUAAAGAAAGAACACAUUAGUUUUAUUGUUAAUUUGUCAAAAUCAUCAUAUAAGUAUUUAGGAUGGGGAUGAUUAUCAAUUAAUUGUAAGUACCAAAUACAUCCUCCAUAGUAAUGGUUUGCGCAGCAUAACAGAGAAUGUUGUCCAACCUUACUCUUACACUCCUCACAUCCGCUUUUUACAUUUGACAUUGUAUUUGGGUAUUCUCCUCACGUUAGCUCUUUGCAUUUGGCAUUGUAUUUGGGUAUCAUUUCAUUUUAGACAAAUUUAGAUAUAAUUUUUUUUUUUUUUAAGAAGUGGAUGGAGCAUUACUUCACACACUAUGGUCUUCGUACUACUACUGAUAAUCUAAAUUCUGCUUAUUUUACAAUUUAUUUUUUGAAAGUAAAGUAUUGGAGCAAAAGGUGAUGAAAUCAUUUUUCUUUAAUUUGUGUUUAAUAGCUACAUAGUGGAUUUGUAAAUUACAAUUUUAUGAUUUGAUUGUUUUUUCUAGAUUUCUUCUGUCUUUUGAUUAUUAGCUUUAUGCAUCUCGUCUUCUCAAAUGGCUUUGCGGUUACCUAAGUCGACUGUUUUAUUAUUUGCAAUUUAUUGCAUUGAGGUUGUAAUUACACUAAAUGGGAAGAAUAAAGAUUUAGCAAAUUCUGUCUCUUUGUUGCUUGGUAGAGGAUGACGUGAUUGGAGCUGCUAAAGUUAUUGUUACUUAAGGUUCUAACACAACAAUAACUUGAUUGCAUUGAAAAGGUUUCUUUAUAUCGAUAACUUAGAUGAAGUUUGACUUGAACAUAAAUGACUUUCACCUUUCUAUGUUCUUUUCUGUGUUACAAUUGAGAAAAACUUUGUUUUGUUUUAUGUUGCAUGGCAAAUUUUCAUUAUGUUAUUUCGAUAUUUAAAAAAUAUUUUCACAUGGUAUUCUAUGUCUUAAGUUGACAUUUAAGAUACACCGACAGCUUGAAUAUUGUUUCUAUUAUUUAUGUUUUUUAUUUGCAGCUACAACUUGCAUUAUUUUAAUUUAAAUUUCCCCUAUUUAGUUUCAUUGCCUGGUUAGAUCAUUGCUAAUAUUUAAAAAUUUAUACAGGUGAAAGAUUUGGGGCUUUCAUUAGCUAGCGGGUAGUUGGUGGUUUCUCAAUUUUCAGCAAUAGAAUAUAGGGAGCAACCAAUAAGGUAUUCGUGUUUUGUUAAAUUUCAAUGGCAAUAUGGGAGAAACUGGCAAACUUCCAUAACUCUUUGAAUAGAUGAGAAAAUAGGCUUGAUGGGUUUUUCCUUUCCCCAAAUGAUUGACUGUCUAGAAUGAAUCACAUUCCAAGUCUAGUUCUAAUGUGGUGAUAUUUCAUUUCAUUUGCCAUACUUAAUAACAUACCCUUCAAAUUACAAAAUGGUUAUGCCUUGAACCUUUUAAGCUGAUUAAGAUGAGCAGGAUGCUUAACCCAGUUGCUACUAAAUUGACUUGAUUGGGUAAUGCAUAGAUGCAGAAGACAUGCAAUGGAGGUUAUUAUAGCCAAAAUUUAGGUUGACCGAGUCAAUUUGAGGUUUUUAUCCUUUAUAUCAUCUUAUAACCAUAUCUCCUUUAUUCUUGUAUUCCAACUUGCCAUACAUUCCUUAAAACUUUCACUUAUCAGUUUUUUUUUUUUUUAAUUUAGGUUAAUAUUUCUUUCUUGUCCUUCAAACUAUCUAGGUCCCUCGGGUGGAACAAGUGUACCCCAUUUGCGCUCAUUAGUGCUUUGAUUAUUUUGUCCAAAAUAAUUCGUGAACUCUUUAUAAAAACAAUGUUUGUUUUGUAGGAUAAAUUUCAAGUUGUCUCUAAACUUAAGAUGUUGUAAGAGAACUCUUCUAAAACUUUAAUUUGUCCCAACUUCAAUUUAAAUAAUAAUAAAUUUUUUUUUUUUACCUUUGAUAACCAGUUUACACAUUACCAUGUGGCAUGACAAAAAUAAAAAAUUAUUUUCAAUCAUUAUUCUCUCACCCAAUCACAUUUCUUUUUUUUUUUUUUUUACUGUCUUUCUUUCCAUUCUCUGUCCUCUAGCUAUCUCUAUUAUAUUUUUUCUCUAUGUUUUGCAACCAUUUUAUAAAUCGGUUGCUACUUGCAAUUGAUUUAACAACCGAAAAGUCGAUUGUUAAUUUAAAAAAAAUUAUAAAAAAAAAUUAAAUUUCUAUAUAACAAAUAAAAAUUCAAAAUAAAUAAAUUUUCAAAAAAUUAUUAAAAUAAUAAAUUGUUAAUGAAAAAUUAGUACUAAAAAAUUAAUAUAAAAAUAUCAUAAAAAAUAACUAGUAAUAAUUAUAAGAAAAAUACUAACAAAAAAUAAAAUAUUAAGAAAAUAUUUAUAACAGAAAUUACUAAAACAAUUACCAUAUACAUGAGUUCAUCUAAUUAGUGAAAUGACACGUUAGUUUUAUUGUUAAUUUGUCAAAAUCAUUAUGUAAGUAUUUAGGAUGGGGAUAAUUAUCAAUUAACGGGUACCAAAUACAUCCCUCAUAAUAAUGGUGUGCGCAGCAUGGUUUCCCUCACUCUUACUCUAUUCACGUCAGCUCUUUACAUUUGACAUUGUAUUCGGGUACUGUCCUCACAUCAGCUCUUUGCAUUUGGCAUUGUAUUUGGGUAUCAUUUCAUUUUAUACAAAUUUACAUAUAAUUUUUUUUAGAAGUGGAAGGAGUUCAAGCCCUAUAGUCUUCCUACUACUACUACUACUACUGCUAAUCUAAAUUUUGUUUAUUUUACAAUUUAUCUUUUGAAAGUAAAGUAUGAGAGAAAAGGUGAUGAAACCAUUUAUCUUUAAUUUGUAAAUUACAAUUUUAUGAUUGGCUCAUUUUUUCUAGAUUUCUUCUGUCUUUUGAUUAUUAGCUUUAUGCAUCUCGUCCUCUCAGAUGGCUUUGUAGUUACCUAAGUCUACUAUUUUAUUAUUUGCAUUUCAUUGCAUUGGCGUUGUUAUUAAACUAAAUGGGACGAAUAAAUAUUUAGCAAAUUCUGUCUCUUUGUUGCUUAGUAGAGGAUGGCGUGAUUGGAACUGAGUUAUUUUUACUUAAGGUUCUAACACAACAACUUGAUAAUUGGGGUUUUGUAUCGAAAAGGUUUCUUUAUAUCGAUAACUUAGUUGAAAGUUGGCUUGAACGUAAAUGACUUUCACGUUUUAUGUUCUUUUCUGUGUUACAAUUGAGAGAAACUUUGUUUUGUUUUAUGUUGCAAGGCAAAUUUUCAUUAUGUUAUUUCGGUAUUUAAAAAAUAUUGUCACAUGAUAUUAUGUCUUAAGUUGACAUUUAAGAUGCACUAACAACUUGAAUAUUAUUUCUAUUAUUCUUAUGUUAUGUUUAUGUAUAUAACAUUGGAUUGUUUUUUAUUUGCAGCUGCAGUUUGCAUUAUUUUAAUUUAAAUUUCCUCUAUUUUGUUUCAUUGCCUGCCUAGAUCAUUGCUGAUAUUUAAAAAUUUAUGCAUGAGAAAGAUUUGGAGCUUUUAUUAGCUAGUGGGUAGUUGGUGGUUUCUCAGUUUUCAACAUUAGAAUACUAGGAGUAACCAAUAAGGUAUUCAUGUUUUGUCAAAUUUCAAUGGCAACAUGCGAGGAACUGGCAAACCUCCAUAAAUCUUUGGAUAGAUGAGAAAAUAGGCUUGAUGGGUUUUUCCUUCCCCAAAUGAUUGUAUGUUUAGAAGGAAUUGCAUUCCAAGUCUGUUUCCAAUGUGGUGAUGUUUCAUUUCAUUUCAUUUGCCAUACUUAAUAACAUACCCUUCAAAUUGCACAUUGGUUAUGCCUUGAACCUUUAAACUGAUUAGGAUGAGUAGUGCUUACUUAACCUGCUUGCUGCUAAAUUGACUUGAUUGGUUAAUACAUAGAAGCAUAAGUUAUGCAAUUUAGGUUAUUAUAGCCAAAAUUUAGGUUGACCGAGUCAAUUUGAGGUUUUUAUCCUUUUUAUCAUCUUACAACCAUAUCUCCUUCAUUCUUGUAUUCCAACUAGCCAUAGAUUUCUUAAAACUUUAACUUACCGGUUUUUAUUUUUUAAUUUAGGUUAAUAUUUCUUUCUUGUCCUUCAAACUAUCAAGGUGCAUCGGGUGGAACAAGUGUUCACCAUUUCCAGUUAUUUGUGCUAGAUUAUUUUGUCCAAAGUAAUUUGGAAACUCUUUAUAAAAUCAAUAUUUGUUUUGUAGGAUAAAUUUCAUAUCGUCUCCAAACUUAAGAUGUUGUAAUAGCACUCUUCUUAAACUUUAAUUAACCAGUUUACACAUUACCAUAUGGCAUAACAAAAAUAAAAAAUUACUCUCACCCAACCUUAUUUCUCUUUUUUUACUUUCUUUCCAUUCUCUCCUCUAGCUGUCUCUGUUAUAAUUUUCUUCUCUAUGUAUUGCUUUGCACAUUUCCUUGAGUUUUAUAGGCAUUUGGCGGAAAAGAAGGAAAGUGUAGAUGGCAAUGGCUUGGAGUUUCUUUAAGAGGCAGAUAUGGAGAAAAAAAAACUUGAUAUACUUGUUUAAUUAACUUUGAUAUUAAAUUUAAAUAAUAAUUUAAAUUUGAAAAUAAAAAAGUAUCUCGGCUGUAUACCAUUUUUCAA